AGCCCCUUCGUCUAGUGGCUAAGGACAUAGGCCUUUGAAGCCUAGGACCCCAGUUCGAAUCUGGGAGGGGCUA
rnacentral:tRNA from 1 species